rnacentral:rRNA from 1 species
AGCAGCCGCGGUAAUUCCAGCUCCAAUAGCGUAUAUUAAAGUUGUUGCAGUUAAAAAGCUCGUAGUUGAAUUUCGGGGCCAGUAGGUUGGUCGUGCCACUGGUAUGCACUGGCCUCACUGGUCCCUCCUUCUUGUAGAACCGUGAUGGCAUUAAUUUGUUGUUGCGGGGAAACAGGACUGUUACUUUGAAAAAAUUAGAGUGCUUAAAGCAGGCUCGCGCUUGAAUACAUUAGCAUGGAAUAACGAAAUAGGACGAUCGAACCUAUUUUGUUGGUUUCUAGGAUCGACGUAAUGAUUAAUAGGGAUAGUUGGGGGCAUUAGUAUUCAAUUGUCAGAGGUGAAAUUCUUGGAUUUAUUGAAGACUAACUACUGCGAAAGCAUUUGCCAAGGAUGUUUUCAUUAAUCAAGAACGAAAGUUAGGGAUCGAAGACGAUCAGAUACCGUCGUAGUCUUAACCAUAAACUAUGCCGACUAGGGACCGAUGAAGUUAAUUUUUAAUGACUCAUUCGGCGCCUUACGG